AGAGUUUGAUCAUGGCUCAGAUUGAACGCUGGCGGCAGGCCUAACACAUGCAAGUCGAACGGUAACAGGAAGCAGCUUGCUGCUUCGCUGACGAGUGGCGGACGGGUGAGUAAUGUCUGGGAAACUGCCUGGUGGAGGGGGAUAACUACUGGAAACGGUGGCUAAUACCGCAUAACGUCGCAAGACCAAAGAGGGGGACCUUCGGGCCUCUUGCCAUCAGAUGUGCCCAGAUGGGAUUAGCUUGUUGGUGGGGUAACGGCCCACCAAGGCGACGAUCCCUAGCUGGUCUGAGAGGAUGACCAGCCACACUGGAACUGAGACACGGUCCAGACUCCUACGGGAGGCAGCAGUGGGGAAUAUUGCACAAUGGGCGCAAGCCUGAUGCAGCCAUGCCGCGUGUAUGAAGAAGGCCUUCGGGUUGUAAAGUACUUUCAGCGGGGAGGAAGGUGUUGUGGUUAAUAACCACAGCAAUUGACGUUACCCGCAGAAGAAGCACCGGCUAACUCCGUGCCAGCAGCCGCGGUAAUACGGAGGGUGCAAGCGUUAAUCGGAAUUACUGGGCGUAAAGCGCACGCAGGCGGUCUGUCAAGUCGGAUGUGAAAUCCCCGGGCUCAACCUGGGAACUGCAUCCGAAACUGGCAGGCUUGAGUCUCGUAGAGGGGGGUAGAAUUCCAGGUGUAGCGGUGAAAUGCGUAGAGAUCUGGAGGAAUACCGGUGGCGAAGGCGGCCCCCCUGGACGAAGACUGACGCUCAGGUGCGAAAGCGUGGGGAGCAAACAGGAUUAGAUACCCUGGUAGUCCACGCCGUAAACGAUGUCGACUUGGAGGUUGUGCCCUUGAGGCGUGGCUUCCGGAGCUAACGCGUUAAGUCGACCGCCUGGGGAGUACGGCCGCAAGGUUAAAACUCAAAUGAAUUGACGGGGGCCCGCACAAGCGGUGGAGCAUGUGGUUUAAUUCGAUGCAACGCGAAGAACCUUACCUGGUCUUGACAUCCACGGAAGAAUCCAGAGAUGGAUUUGUGCCUUCGGGAGCCGUGAGACAGGUGCUGCAUGGCUGUCGUCAGCUCGUGUUGUGAAAUGUUGGGUUAAGUCCCGCAACGAGCGCAACCCUUAUCCUUUGUUGCCAGCGGUCCGGCCGGGAACUCAAAGGAGACUGCCAGUGAUAAACUGGAGGAAGGGUGGGGAUGACGUCAAGUCAUCAUGGCCCUUACGACCAGGGCUACACACGUGCUACAAUGGCGCAUACAAAGAGAAGCGACCUCGCGAGAGCAAGCGGACCUCAUAAAGUGCGUCGUAGUCCGGAUUGGAGUCUGCAACUCGACUCCAUGAAGUCGGAAUCGCUAGUAAUCGUGGAUCAGAAUGCCACGGUGAAUACGUUCCCGGGCCUUGUACACACCGCCCGUCACACCAUGGGAGUGGGUUGCAAAAGAAGUAGGUAGCUUAACCUCCGGGAGGGCGCUUACCACUUUGUGAUUCAUGACUGGGGUGAAGUCGUAACAAGGUAACCGUAGGGGAACCUGCGGUUGGAUCACCU
rnacentral:rRNA from 1 species